GCCUACGGCCAUACCAGUCUAAAGGUGCCUGAUCUCGUCAGAUCUCAGAAGUCAUGCAGAGUUGUGCCUGCUUAGAACUUGUAUGGGAAACCAAUUAAGAACCUCAGGUGCUGUAAGCC